AGUGUCCCAGGACCCGCAGGUGAGCAGUGGGGCAGAGACCCAGUGGUAAGUGUCCCCAGGUCCUGGAGGUGAGCAGUGGGGCAGACACUAGUGGUUGAGUGUCCCGGUCCUGGAGGUGAGCAGUGGGGCAGAGACCCAGUGGUGAGUGUCCCAGGUCCCCCAGGUGAGCGGUGGGGCAGAGACCCAGUGGUGAGUGCCCCAGGACCUGCAGGUGAGCGGUGGGGCAGAGACCCAGUGGUGAGUGUCCCAGGUCCCGCAGGUGAGCGGUGGGGCAGAG